GACGAACGCUGGCGGCGUGCUUAACACAUGCAAGUCGAACGGAAAGGCCCUGCUUUUGUGGGGUGCUCGAGUGGCGAACGGGUGAGUAACACGUGAGUAACCUGCCCUUGACUUUGGGAUAACUUCAGGAAACUGGGGCUAAUACCGGAUAGGAGCUCCUGCUGCAUGGUGGGGGUUGGAAAGUUUCGGCGGUUGGGGAUGGACUCGCGGGUUAUCAGCUUGUUGGUGGGGUAGUGGCUUACCAAGGCUUUGACGGGUAGCCGGCCUGAGAGGGUGACCGGCCACAUGGGGACUGAGAUACGGCCCAGACUCCUACGGGAGGCAGCAGGGGGGAAUAUUGCACAAUGGGCGGAAGCCUGAUGCAGCAACGCCGCGUGCGGGAUGACGGCCUACGGGUUGUAAACCGCUUUCGCCUGUGCCGAAGCGUGAGUGACGGUAAUGGGUCAAGAAGCACCGGCUAACUACGUG
rnacentral:rRNA from 1 species